GGCUGGUUUGAAUUGUAGCUAUAUUUCAGAGCCCCCAAGUAUCACAGCUGUAAAUCUGUCUUAUAGUGAACUGACUGGUGAAAUAUCCCCUUCCUUCAGUGAACUUUCAGCAAUCAAUUAUCUGGAUCUAUCUUACAAUAACUUGACUGGAAUGAUACCUGAUGUAUUAGGAAAAUUAUCCCAGCUUAAAGUUCUAUAUUUAAUGCAAACCAACAUUGAUAAGAC